GGGUACUUAGCUCAGCCGGUAGAGCAUCUGACUUUUAAUCAGGGGGUCAUAGGUUCGAAUCCUAUAGUACCCACCA
rnacentral:tRNA from 5 species